GUGCUCACUUCAGCAGCAAAUAUACUAAAAUUGGAACAAUACAGAGAAGGUUAACGUGGUGCCUGCUAAGGAUGACACAAAUUCGUGAAGUGUUCCAUAUUUUU
ensembl:snRNA U6 U6 spliceosomal RNA